rnacentral:sRNA from 1 species
UGUAAGUGUUGACUCUGAUGGCAGCACCGGUUUGUCUAGUCAAGAGACCUCAUUAGAUCCUCUCUCCUUGGCCAGCACGCAGGAAGAAAAAGGUCCCGAGUUGCAGAGUCUGUUGCUGCAAGCGUACACAAAAAUUGGUGAUCCAGAUGGAAUUUAUGGCUGCGGAGCUGGUAGGAGAGCUGAACCACUGGCCAGAGUGGAGAGUUAUCUCCAUGAAGGGCAACAAUCCAAAGCUUUGACAACUCUAGACAUUGAGAUAUCCCACAAUCCUGCGCAGUUGAUCACACCUCUAUUACAGGCCAUUCAAUCCUGUGGUGCAGACUAUAUCCUGCGCCAGUGUCUAUCUGGUUUGAGAGGAGAUGCAGACACUUCCAGUCUUUCUGACGAAGCUUUUCAGCUGAGAGAGUUUCACUACCAGGCAGCAUGGAAACUUGGACAGUGGGACACGCUACCUUCUGCUCGAAUCAAUAAAGCAACGCCAUUCCACCAGUGUUUAUAUCAAGCUUUGCAAUGUUUUCAUGAGGACCAUUUGGUUUCAGCUAAAGACUUAGUUGAUUUG